rnacentral:rRNA from 1 species
GACGUAGGGCGCGAGCGUUGUCCGGAUUUAUUGGGCGUAAAGGGCUCGUAGGCGGUCUGUCACGUCGGGAGUGAAAACUCGGGGCUCAACCCCGAGCCUGCUUCCGAUACGGGCAGACUAGAGGUAUGCAGGGGAGAAUGGAAUUCCUGGUGUAGCGGUGAAAUGCGCAGAUAUCAGGAGGAACACCGGUGGCGAAGGCGGUUCUCUGGGCAUUACCUGACGCUGAGGAGCGAAAGUGUGGGAGCGAACAGG